UACGGGGGGGGCAAGCGUUGUUCGGAAUUACUGGGCGUAAAGGGCUCGUAGGCGGCUAAUUAAGUCGGGCGUGAAAUCCCUCAGCUUAACUGGGGAACUGCGUCCGAUACUGGAUGGCUUGGAUUUGGGAGAGGGAUGCGGAAUUCCAGGUGUAGCGGUGAAAUGCGUAGAUAUCUGGAGGAACACCGGUGGCGAAGGCGGCAUCCUGGACCAAUAUUGACGCUGAGGAGCGAAAGCCAGGGGAGCAAACGGG
rnacentral:rRNA from 1 species